rnacentral:rRNA from 1 species
AACGAACGCUGGCGGCAGGCCUAACACAUGCAAGUCGAGCGAGACCUUCGGGUCUAGCGGCGGACGGGUUAGUAACGCGUGGGAACGUGCCCUUCUCUGCGGAAUAGCCACUGGAAACGGUGAGUAAUACCGCAUACGCCCUUCGGGGAAAGAUUUAUCGGAGAAGGAUCGGCCCGCGUUAGAUUAGAUAGUUGGUGGGGUAAUGGCCUACCAAGUCUACGAUCUUUAGCUGGUUUUAGAGGAUGAUCAGCAACACUGGGACUGAGACACGGCCCAGACUCCUACGGGAGGCAGCAGUGGGGAAUCUUGGACAAUGGGCGCAAGCCUGAUCCAGCCAUGCCGCGUGAGUGAUGAAGGCCUUAGGGUCGUAAAGCUCUUUCGCCAGAGAUGAUAAUGACAGUAUCUGGUAAAGAAGUCCCGGCUAACUCCGUG